AUCAGUCAAGACAUUAACUACAAUUUCAGUAGUUGGAAUAACAGGCGCUAGCCUAGGAUGUGACGCACAUGAGUUUGAAUUACAGGCAGAUGCAACAGUGGACAUAGACUUGCCCACCUAUGCAGAACUGUCUAGAAAAUCAAAUGUUUAUUUCUUAAUCACAUUCACAAAUAACCUUGGACUCAGCAUUCAACAUAUUUUAGACUUGGGCCAUAUGAUUUCGAAGCGUCCAGUGUGAACCAAUUUGUGGUGGGAUGAUAGCAUGGACAAGAAAGACACGAGAGUUUGAGAAGAUACCGUGAAUUCUUCAAUCAAUGUACCAUUACAAGAUAUGUGGUGUGCAUUUAACUCAUUACGUUGUAUCUUCUUUACUAAUAAAUUUGAUAAAUGAUGAAAAGAAUUUA